CCUACGGGCGGCAGCAGUCGAGAAUCAUUCACAAUGGGGGAAACCCUGAUGGUGCGACGCCGCGUGGGGGAAUGAAGGUCUUCGGAUUGUAAACCCCUGUCAUGUGGGAGCAAAUUAAAAAGAUAGUACCACAAGAGGAAGAGACGGCUAACUCUGUGCCAGCAGCCGCGGUAAUACAGAGGUCUCAAGCGUUGUUCGGAAUCACUGGGCGUAAAGCGUGCGUAGGCUGUUUCGUAAGUCGUGUGUGAAAGGCGCGGGCUCAACCCGCGGACGGCACAUGAUACUGCGAGACUAGAGUAAGGGAGGGGGAAGCGGAAGUCUCGGUGUAGCAGUGAAAUGCGUAGAUAUCGAGAGGAACACUCGUGGCGAAGGCGGGUUCCUGGACAUUAACUGACGCUGAGGCACGAAGUCCAGGGGAGCGAAAGGGAUUAGAUACCCGUGUAGUC
rnacentral:rRNA from 1 species